rnacentral:rRNA from 1 species
ACACUCCUGCGGGAGGCAGCAGUGGGGAAUUUUGGACAAUGGGCGAAAGCCUGAUCCAGCAAUGCCGCGUGUGUGAAGAAGGCCUUCGGGUUGUAAAGCACUUUUGUCCGGAAAGAAAUCCUUGGCUCUAAUACAGUCGAGGGAUGACGGUACCGGAAGAAUAAGCACCGGCUAACUACGUGCCAGCAGCCGCGGUAAUACGUAGGGUGCGAGCGUUAAUCGGAAUUACUGGGCGUAAAGCGUGCGCAGGCGGUUUGCUAAGACCGAUGUGAAAUCCCCGGGCUCAACCUGGGAACUGCAUUGGUGACUGGCAGGCUAGAGUAUGGCAGAGGGGGGUAGAAUUCCACGUGUAGCAGUGAAAUGCGUAGAGAUGUGGAGGAAUACCGAUGGCGAAGGCAGCCCCCUGGGCCAAUACUGACGCUCAUGCACGAAAGCGUGGGGAGCAAACAGGAUUAGAAACCCUGGUAGUCCCA